GGAGAGGUGGCAGAGUGGUUGAAUGCGGCAGUCUCGAAAACUGCUUUGGCGGCAACGUCAACGUGGGUUCAAAUCCCACCCUCUCCG
rnacentral:tRNA from 1 species